AUGUUUGUCUUUGGGCGGAGGGGAGGGCGGCGGACUGGCCUGGGCCCGGUGCGGCCCCGGUGCGGGUCGGCGCGGCGGCGGCGGCGGCGGCGGCGGCGGCGGCGGGGGUUGGCGGCGGUGCUGACAGCGGCUGCGGAGGCGGCGGCGGCGGCGGCGGCGGCCCUCUUCGCGCUGCGCCCCUUGCCUUCACUGCACGCUCGUCUGCAGUCCGUGGUGCGGCGGCGGCGUGUCGGCGCUCACGGUGCCCACCUGCGAGUAGACGUCGUCGGGCGUCUGCUGUUGGAUCCCGGGCGGCGUCAUGCGCUUCUCCUUUUGGCGCCGGUUGCAGAACCAGACCCGCACCACCUCCUUCUCCAGCUGCAGGCUGUCGGCCAGGUUGGUGAUCUCCUGCGCGGAGGGCUUGGGGCACUUGAGGAAGUGGCUCUCGAGCGCGCCCUUGACGCUCACCUCUAUGGAGGUCCGCUUCUUGCGCUUGCGGCCCUGCGCCGCGAUCUUGUCGAUGCUCGUGGGGCUGCCGGUGCUCGAGUCCGCCUCCUCCAGCCACUUGUUCAGCAGCGGCUUGAGCUUGCACAUGUUCUUGAAGCUCAGCUGCAGGGCCUCGAAGCGGCAGAUGGUGGUUUGCGAGAACACGUUGCCGUACAGCGUGCCCAGAGCCAGCCCCACGUCGGCCUGCGUGAAGCCGAGUUUAAUGCGCCGCUGCUUGAACUGCUUGGCGAACUGCUCCAGGUCGUCCGACGUCGGUGUGUCCUCGUCCGAGUGCGGGUCGUGACUGUUGAGCCCGGGCCCCGCGCCGCCGCCGCCGUGGUGCGGAGGCCCCUGCGCGUGGUGCGGGUGCGGCGGGUGCGGGUGCCCGUGGUGGUGGUGGUGGUGGUGGUGCUCGGCCAGCUCGGGCGUGUCCCCGCGCACCAGCCCCGGGUGCACCAGGCUCUGGGCGCCGCCGCCCGCGCCGCCGCCGCCGCCGCCCGGGCCCGGGGGCGCGCUCAGCAUGCCGUUCACCGUGAAGCCCCCGGGCUGCGAGUAGAGCAGACUCUGCGGCGGCGGCUGCUGGCCCCCGGCCAUGGACGGGAGGUGUGCGGCGGCUGCGGCGGCGGCGGCGGCGGCGGCUGCGGCGGCGGCGGCCCCCCAGCCCCCCGGGUGGCCCUGGUGCGGGGGCGGCGGCGGGGGCCCGAGGUGCGGCGGCCCGCGGUGGUGCAGCGCGGUGCCCGCGUGCAGGUCGUCGCGACCGGAGCCGCCCUUUACGUCGGGGCCCUGCGGCGGCGGCGGCGGCGGCGGCUGCGGCGGUUGCUGGGGGCUGCCGGCCAUGCCCACGGCGCUGCCGGACCACGGCGAGCUGGCCUCCACGGCGGCGGCGGCGGCGGCGGCGGCGGCGGCGGCGGCGUGGGGUAG
rnacentral:lncRNA from 1 species